CUUUGAAAGAAUGAGAUAUACAAUGUAUAAAUAAGUUUUUAUUGAUUAUAAUAUGUAAUAUAUCUCAUUCGUUAGCCAGAAAUGUUUUUUAAAUUAUUAUUGUUUACUUUAUAUAACCUGUCUCUUCUUUUUUCCAUUCCCACUAGUGGGGAUCAAACCAGCUAUAUCUCCAGUCCCUUCUCAUUUUAAACUUUUUAAAAAUUUGAGUCAUUUCUCGUUAAUUUGCCUAGGUUGGCCUCCAACUUCUGAUCCUUCUUCCUCAACCCCGCAAGGAGCUAGGAUUAUAUGUGUGCAACACCACACCCACCUUCUUUCUUAUAUCAUAAAUGUCAUGGAUCAUGAGAGAGGAGCCUUCCUGCCUCAAAUGCCUUCAUAAGGAGCAGUGUGCCUCGUGGUGAGUCUCUCUCAACUGUGGAUGCAUAGCUAGAAAACACUGCUCCUGUGUGCUGCAGGGAAUGCAUGUGAAAGAAACCACUCCUGAAGUAGGAACUCAUUGUCCAUCUUGCCCAGAAGAGGCUCAGUAAGUACUAGAGAACUGUCUACCUUUUGUUUCUUCCCAGCCUCUUACUCUUUACACGCUGGCUCUCUAGACCAGCAUUACUGGUUUAGCUUCUCUUUCACCCCUUCAGACAUAAGUUCUCACCUUCUUCACAGUUAGGCAUUGCCUUGAGUCUAGGCUGCUGUUCUGAUACUACCUUGCUCACACGGGCAUAGAAUCUACAGACUGGCCCUGGCCAGCCACACUGGGUUCCAGCUCCACUCAGGCAGAGCCGCGUGCUGUCUGCCCCAUCCCAUGGGCAGUGGUCACAAUCUAAGGACUCAGUUUGCACACUACUGAUACUACUUGACAGGUCCUGGCUUCUCCAGCCCCUCCCAGCUGGAGCUUCUGGAUAUCUUUUAGCAGGAGACUCAGGCCUCAGUUCUUCCUGUCAAUCCUGAGGUAAGUCAUGCUUCUCAACAUUUGAUGUGUGGACAGAUCCCUGGAAAUGUGGCUAACAUGAAUAGAACUGGGCUAAGGUCUGAGAUCCUGAACUGCUAAGAUGUUCCCAUGGAAGAUGAUGAUUCGUGAACUUCAUUUUGAGAAAUAAAGAAUGUAUAGCAACCUCAGCCUCCUGGGAUAAGGUUUGGAAUAUGUUUUUUAAAAUGUUUAACAUGUUAGUAAAUAUCCAUUGAACACACUCCUCUCUGGCAACUGCUGUGCUGCUAAGAUCCACUCUGCUUUUAAGGAGCUUACAUUUUAAUGGAAUAAAAGCAUUUGUUUUGAGAUUAUAUACUUUGUACAGUUUAACUUUCAUAACACC
rnacentral:lncRNA from 1 species